rnacentral:rRNA from 1 species
GGAGGCAGCAGUAGGGAAUCUUCCGCAAUGGACGAAAGUCUGACGGAGCAACGCCGCGUGAGUGAUGAAGGUUUUCGGAUCGUAAAGCUCUGUUGUUAGGGAAGAACAAGUACCGUUCGAAUAGGGCGGUACCUUGACGGUACCUAACCAGAAAGCCACGGCUAACUACGUGCCAGCAGCCGCGGUAAUACGUAGGUGGCAAGCGUUGUCCGGAAUUAUUGGGCGUAAAGGGCUCGCAGGCGGUUUCUUAAGUCUGAUGUGAAAGCCCCCGGCUCAACCGGGGAGGGUCAUUGGAAACUGGGGAACUUGAGUGCAGAAGAGGAGAGUGGAAUUCCACGUGUAGCGGUGAAAUGCGUAGAGAUGUGGAGGAACACCAGUGGCGAAGGCGACUCUCUGGUCUGUAACUGACGCUGAGGAGCGAAAGCGUGGGGAGCGAACAGGAUUAGAUACCCUGGUAGUCCACGCCGUAAACGAUGAGUGCUAAGUGUUAGGGGGUUUCCGCCCUUUA